rnacentral:pre_miRNA from 1 species
UAAAGAUGAAGAUGGUGAUGAUGAUGAUGAUGAUGAUGAUGAUCAUCAUCAUCAUCAUCAUCAUCAUCAUCAUCAGCU